rnacentral:rRNA from 1 species
UACGGGGGGGGCAAGCGUUGUUCGGAAUUACUGGGCGUAAAGGGCUCGUAGGCGGCCAACUAAGUCAGACGUGAAAUCCCUCGGCUUAACCGGGGAACUGCAUCUGAUACUGGAUGGCUUGAGGUUGGGAGAGGGAUGCGGAAUUCCUGGUGUAGCGGUGAAAUGCGUAGAUAUCAGGAGGAACACCGGUGGUGCAGACGGCUCUCUGGACCGUAACUGACGCUGAGACACGAAAGCGUGGGUAGCAAACAGG